CGCCCGUCGCUCCUACCGAUUGGGUGUGCUGGUGAAGAGUUCGGACUGGCGACAGCUGGCGGCAACGUCUCUGUCGCCGGGAAGUUCUUUAAACCCUCCCACCUAGAGGAAGGAGAAGUCGUAACAAGGUUUCC
rnacentral:rRNA from 1 species